rnacentral:piRNA from 1 species
UGUAACCUAUUGAGGGAAAACAGUCAA